UGAGUUUGAUUAUGGCUCAGGAUGAACGCUAGCGACAGGCUUAACACAUGCAAGUCGAGGGGCAGCAUGGUCGUAGCAAUACGACUGAUGGCGACCGGCGCACGGGUGAGUAACGCGUAUGCAACCUGCCCUCCGCAGGGGGAUAACCGGGAGAAAUUCCGACUAAUACCGCAUAAGUGUUCUGGACGAAUGUCCGGGAUAUGAAAGAUUUAUCGGCAGAGGAUGGGCAUGCGUAAUAUUAGGUAGUUGGUGGGGUAACGGCCCACCAAGCCGACGAUAUUUAGGGGUUCUGAGAGGAAGGUCCCCCACAUUGGUACUGAGACACGGACCAA
rnacentral:rRNA from 1 species